UACGUAGGGGGCAAGCGUUGUCCGGAUUUACUGGGCGUAAAGAGCGUGUAGGCGGCCUUACAGGUCAGCUGUGAAAACUCGAGGCUCAACCUCGAGACGUCGGUUGAAACCGUAUGGCUAGAGUCCGGAAGAGGAGAGUGGAAUUCCUGGUGUAGCGGUGAAAUGCGCAGAUAUCAGGAAGAACACCCGUGGCGAAGGCGGCUCUCUGGGACGGUACUGACGCUGAGACGCGAAAGCGUGGGGAGCGAACAGG
rnacentral:rRNA from 1 species